rnacentral:rRNA from 1 species
CCAAUAGCGUAUAUUAAAGUUGUUGCAGUUAAAAAGCUCGUAGUUGAAUUUCAGGCCUGGCUGGACGGUCCGCCCUUCGGGUGAGUACUGUCUGUGGUCGGGUCCUACCUUCUGGCGAAGCGUCAUGGCCUUAACCGGCCGUGGCGGGGAACCAGGACUUUUACUGUGAAAAAAUUAGAGUGUUCAAAGCAGGCAAUCGCUUGGAUACAUUAGCAUGGAAUAAUGGAAUAGGACAAUGGUUCUAUUUGUUGGUUUCUAGGACCGUUGUAAUGAUUAAUAGGGAUAGUUGGGGGCAUUAGUAUUCAAUUGUCAGAGGUGAAAUUCUUGGAUUUAUUGAAGACUAACUACUGCGAAAGCAUUUGCCAAGGAUGUUUUCAUUAAUCAAGAGCGAAAGUUAGGGGAUCGAAGACGAUCAGAUACCGUCGUAGUCUUAACCAUAAACUAUGCCGACUAGGAAUCGGGCGAUGUUGACAAAAUGACGCGCUCGGCACCUCAUG